GCUGUCGGGAGUUAGGAAGUGCAAGGAUGUUAAUAGCGUUCUUGCUUGACUAAGGCUCCGGAGGAAGCCACGGCUAACUCUGUGCCAGCAGCCGCGGUAAUACAGAGGCGGCAAGCGUUGUUCGGAAUUAUUGGGCGUAAAGAGCACGUAGGCGGCUGUGUAAGUCGGUUGUGAAAGCCUUCCGCUUAACGGAAGAACGGCAUCCGAUACUGCAUAGCUUGAGUGCGGGAGGGGAGAGUGGAACUUCUGGUGGAGCGGUGAAAUGCGUAGAUAUCAGAAGGAACACCGGCGGCGAAGGCGACUCUCUGGUCCGUAACUGACGCUGAGUGUGCGAAAGCUAGGGGAGCAAACGGGAUUAGAUACCCCGGUAGUCCUAGCCGUAAACGAUGGGCACUCAGUAGAGGGA
rnacentral:rRNA from 1 species